rnacentral:rRNA from 1 species
AUUAGUGGACAAAGUUAGUAGUGGAGAGCGAGAGCUUUGUGUGGUUAAUAAAAAUAAAAUUAAAUAUAAUAAAAAAAAUAUAAUAUAAUAAAAAAAAUAAAUACUUAAUCAAAAUAAAAUUUUAUUUUGAUUAAUUAAAAAAAAAAAAUAUAAUCAAAAACAAAAUAAUAAAUUUUUAUUUUGUUUUUGAUUAAUUAAUCAAAAUAAAAUUAAAUUUUAUUUUGAUUAAAAUAAAAUUAAAUUUUAUUUAUUUUUUUUAUUAUAUAAAAAUUUAUUAUUUUGUUUGUGAUUAAGGAUUUUGAUUAUAUUUUUUUUUUAAUUAAUCAAAAUAAAAUUUUAUUUUGAUUAAGUAUUUUGAUUAAUUAAUUAGGUUUAAUAAUAUAAUGAAGACGAAGAGGGGCCACCGAUAGAGAAGAGUACUGUGAAGGAAAGUUAAAAAUUUUGUCUUUAAAGCGGAUAUUGUUAUCGUACCUUUUGUAUAAGGGGUUUGUAAGAAGUUUUUAGCGAGGUGGGGGUCGGAAUGAGAGUGAGUCUUCUGUAGUUAAAAGUCCCGAAACUAAGUGAUCUAAUUAUGGGCAGCUUGAAGUUAUACGGGGGUAUAAUGGAGGGGCGAACUGGUAACUGUGGCAAAAGUUUCAGAUGAUCUAUAAUUGGUGGUGANAGACUAAUCGAACUUAGAAAUAGCUGGUUUUCUACGAAAUUUAAUUUAGUGAAGUGAAAAUUUAAAUAAAUCAGAUUUAUGUAAUCCAAAAAUGGAAAAUUUUUUUAUUUAUUAAAAAAAAAGUUUAAAUCCAAUAAAAUUUUAUUUGAUAUUUUCAAUGAGAGUGGGGGCGUAAAGUUGUCACUCGAGAGGGGAAAAGCCCGGAUAUUAGCUAAAGGCGUGAAACAAAUAGAUUUUUUUAUUAAAUCUUAAUAAUAAUAAAAAUAUAAAAAAAUAAAAUUUUAUUUUUGAUUAAGCUUUUAAGUGCAAAAGGGGGGUUAAUUUAGAUAAAAAGAAAGUGGGCUUGGANGUAGCCAUCUUAUAAAGAGUGUGUAAUUACAUAAUUUUUAAGUUAAGGCCCUUGAAAAUGUGGGCGACUUAAAAAAGUAUUAAAGCUAUGGGUGUUUAAUAUAUUAUUAUGAUUUUAAGUUUCUGAAUAAAUUUAAUUAAACCAAAUUUAUGUAGUAGAAUAUACUGUAUUGGAUAAUGAGAAUAGAUCAGUAGAAAUAAUGCAAACAUGAGUAAAAAAUACCUGGGGGUAAUUUACAAAAGUUGUNNAAAAAAAAACAAAAACAAAAAAUCUAAACAAAAAAAUAAAAUUAAAUUGUUGUUAUAUUUUUUGUUUUGAUAUUAAAAUUUUUUUUAUUAUAUUUAUUUUUGUAGUAAAAUUUAAGACUAUCGGGGGUAGUUGAAGAGGAAUGGGAGUUCCGACUGACAAUAGAGGGUAUUUAAAUGAAUGAUUUUAUAUUAAGGAAUUCGGCAAAAUGUUUUUGUAAGAUUACGAGAAGAAAAGAGUUUAAUCNAAAAAAAAAUAAAUGAUAAAAUUUUUGUUUAUUAAACAAAAUUUAGGAGGUAUCGACUGUUUCGCAAAAACAUAGCUUCUAGUAAAGAAUAGAGGUGAGACCUGUCCAGUGACUAUUUCUAAAUAUUGUUUCAAUUAUAAGGGUAGUUAAACGGCCGCGGUAAUUAUGACCGUGUUAAAGUAGCGCAAUCAAUCGCCAAUUAAUUGUUGGCAAGUAUGAAGGUUUCACGAAUGCCUCACUGUCUCGAUAUAAAGUUUAUUGAAAUUGGAAUUUUAGUGAAGAUACUAAAUAGUAAUUGAAAGACGAGAAGACCCCGUGAGCUUUACUGGAGUAUUAAUUAUUAUUAAUAUAGACAGUUUAGUUGGGGCGACUCCCCUAUAAAGAGUAACUAGGGGGCUUGUGGGUUAAGAAAUAGUUAAAUCUAAGACAAUAAGGGGGCCCUCCCGAAUUGGCAUGUAGUUUGUGUAAAUAAUAAUGAUAAUAAAAAUGCUUAAUCAAAAUAAAAUUUUAUUUUGAUUAAUUAAACAAAAAAAUAUUUUAAUCAAAAAAAAAAUUUUUAUAUUAUUUUGUUUUUGUUUAUAUUUUUUUUAUUAUAUUUUUUUAUUAUUAUAUUAAUAAUUUCGUGGGAUAUAUCGAUCCGUAGUUUAUUGAUUACGAGAGCGGCAAAAAGUUACCGCGGGGAUAACAGGGUAAUUUUGUUUGAGAGCUCGUAUCGAAGACGAAGUUUGCNACCUCGAUGUUGAAUUGUGAUAUCCUGAAGGCGCAGGAGUUUUCAAGGGUUGGACUGUUCGUCCAUUAAAAUCGCACAUGAUUUGAGUUCAGACCGGCGUGAGCCAGGUCGGUUUCUAUCUUCAAUUAUUUAAUGUCUUUUAUUUUUUUAGUACGAAAGGAGGAAAGAGAGUUUGUUCUAUGAUUUAUAAUUAAGACAAAAAAUUAAUUAUUAAAUACAUAUAUAAGAAAUUUAAAGAAGGUGUUAUUUUAGAUAAAAAUAAUUUAAAAUACUAAUAA